AAGCCAGUUCCGAACUGUCACCGUUACGGUGUGCGUGCCUAGGACAUCUAGGAUAGGAGCUGGCUUCGAC
rnacentral:sRNA from 12 species